UACAGAGGGUGCAAGCGUUGUUCGGAAUUACUGGGCGUAAAGCGCGUGUAGGCGGCGUGGUAAGUCCUGUGUGAAAGCCCUGGGCUCAACCCAGGAAGUGCGCAGGAUACUGUCAUGCUGGAGUAGCGGAGAGGAUGGCGGAAUUCCCGGUGUAGAGGUGAAAUUCGUAGAUAUCGGGAGGAACACCUGUGGCGAAGGCGGCCAUCUGGACGUUCACUGACGCUGAGACGCGAAAGCGUGGGUAGCAAACAGG
rnacentral:rRNA from 1 species